AAUACUCCAACCAAACUCCAUAUCUUACUCUAUAAUGAAAUUUACUUUAUAAAUGGAGUAAUCUAUUUUUUGUUUGUUCAUCACUCCAUUAUAAAGUGGAAAAUGGAAUAGAGUUUGAGCAAUUUUACUCUAUUUUCACUUUUAUUUCAUUUUGGAGGAAAAAAUGAAAUUUUGCAUUGGAGAUACUCUAGAAAAGAAUCAUUCAAGUAGAUUAAAACGUCAUUCUGGUAAUGAAACUUUUCUUUCUUCUAAUUUUUUUUUUCAAGUUUGAUAUGGAAAGUGAUUAAGUACCUCAACUGUCCACUUAGCUAAAUAUGUUUAGUGGCAUCCUCACAACUAUAGAAUCAAUCGUAGCAAUGAAAAAGUUAUCUAGGUUUGGUGUAUUUUAUCGCAAAUAUUAUUGUUAAGUACUAUAAUACAUUGCAUUAUUACUGUAGGCUUGUGAUAUUUAGCAGAAUAGAAGAAUCCGAAAUGUCUUUACAUAAUUUCAUUUUUCAUCAAAACGUUCGUAGACUCUUUACUAAUGAUAGCAUAUACAUAGCUCAAAUUUGUAUGCAAAAGCAUUUAUAUAUAUUUAUUAAAUUUGAUCAUAUACUUUAAGUCGUUUUUAUAAGCAUGUGUAUGCAUAAUACAUAUUCAAUAAAACUGAUUUAUUUGAAUAGUUAACUUUAGUUAAAAAAAUUUUUUGAUGUUGUGUUAACUCUAGUUAUUUCAUUAAAUACAAUAGUUAACUUAUAUAAAUAAGUUUAUCUUACAAUUUUAUAUAUUGAUUUACGGUGGAUGUGGUUUUCGGCGGUGGCGUUUUCGGUGUUACCGUCGGAGUAGUAUCUUGCUUCUCGUUUUCGGCGAUUGUUUUCCUUUUUGGCAUCGAUGGCUUCUUUCAGACUCUGGCGUCAUAACUUUCUUCUUCGGUGAAGACGGCCGGCUUUUGACUCCGACUUAUACCAUUUUCUUCAGGGUGUAAUCGACUUCCCCCCCCCCCCCCGAGUAUUCUCGAUCUGUGGGACGGUUAUGUUUCUUUGUGUUUGGUGGCUUGGUGUUGUGGAUGAUUUCUCGACUGGUCUAUUGACGCUCUCCGAUGGAUGUGGCUUAGGCAAUGAAUGUGUAUGCUUUGAAGCUGGUGGGUUUCUUUGAUCGUGGUCAUGUCCCCGAGUUCCGGCAUAAAGCUUUUGUCGGUGGCGGUAUGGAUGCAGUUUCUGCGUUUCGAAUCAUGUUUUCUUUCAAUCUCUUCUUCGUACACGUGAAGCAUACGUGUCUUUUCUUUCUGGGCGUUCUUGGUUGGGCCCAUGUUUGAGUCUCGUCCUUGUAUUUUUAAGUUUGGCCAUCUUGAGCCUUUGUGUUGUUUUUAGCAGUCCGGACCUUUUCUAUGUCUUCUCUUGUAGUGUUGUUUAAUAAAAUUACCAGAUAACAAAAAAAAA